GACGAACGCUGGCGGCGUGCUUAACACAUGCAAGUCGAACGGAGGAUUUAUUUCGGUAAAUCCUUAGUGGCGAACGGGUGAGUAACGCGUGGGCAAUCUGCCCUUCAGAUGGGGACAACAUCCCGAAAGGGGUGCUAAUACCGAAUACGAUCACGCUGCCGCAUGGCGGUGUGAUGAAAGAUGGCCUCUAUUUAUAAGCUAUCGCUGAAGGAUGAGCCUGCGUCUGAUUAGCUAGUUGGUGGGGUAACGGCCUACCAAGGCGAUGAUCAGGAGCCGGUCUGAGAGGAUGAACGGCCACAUUGGGACUGAGACACGGCCCAAACUCCUACGGGAGGCAGCAGUGGGGAAUAUUCCGCAAUGGACGAAAGUCUGACGGAGCAACGCCGCAUGGGUGAUGAAGGUUUUCGGACUGUAAAGCUCUGUUGUUUAGGACGAAAGUGCCUGUUGCGAACAGUUACAGGUAUUGACGGUACUGAACGAGGAAGCCACGGCUAACUACGUGCCAGCAGCCGCCGUAA
rnacentral:rRNA from 1 species